rnacentral:tRNA from 1 species
CGGGGGUUAGAGCAGCCAGGUAGCUCGCGCGACUGCUAGUCGCGAGGACGCCCGUUCAAAUCGGGUACCCCCGUCCA